rnacentral:tRNA from 1 species
AUGGGUGUAGCUCAAUUGGUAGAGCGACGGCUUCCAAAACCGUGAGUUGCGGGUUCGAGUCCUGCCACCCGUG